rnacentral:rRNA from 1 species
AUACGGAGGAUCCGAGCGUUAUCCGGAUUUAUUGGGUUUAAAGGGAGCGUAGGUGGACAGUUAAGUCAGUUGUGAAAGUUUGCGGCUCAACCGUAAAAUUGCAGUUGAUACUGGCUGUCUUGAGUACAGUAGAGGUGGGCGGAAUUCGUGGGGUAGCGGUGAAAUGCUUAGAUAUCACGAAGAACUCCGAUUGCGAAGGCAGCUCACUGGACUGCAACUGACACUGAUGCUCGAAAGUGUGGGUAUCAAACAGGAUUAGAUACCCUGGUAGUCCACACAGUAAACGAUGAAUACUCGCUGUUUGCGAUAUACAGUAAGCGGCCAAGCGAAAGCAUUAAGUAUUCCACCUGGGGAGUACGCCGGCAACGAUGAAACUCAAAUGAAUUGACGGGG